AGUUAACCUAACCUAUGGAUGGGGAUAACCUCGGGAAACUGAGAAUAAUCCCCGAUAGACCACAAUGCCUGGAAUGGUUUGUGGUUGAAAUGAUUUAUCGCCGUAGGAUGGGACUGCGGCCUAUCAGCUAGUUGGUGAGGUAAUGGCCCACCAAGGCUAUAACAGGUACGGGCUCUGAGAGGAGGGGCCCGGAGAUGGGUACUGAGACACGGACCCAGGCCCUAUGGGGCGCAGCAGGCGAGAAACCUUUGCAAUGUGCGAAAGCACGACAAGGUUAAUCCGAGUGUCCUCUGCUAAAGAAGUCUUUUGUUAGUCAUAGAACCACUGAUGAAUAAGGGGUGGGCAAGUUCUGAUGUCAGCCGCCGCGGUAAAACCAGCACCUCGAGUGGUCAGGAGGUUUAUUGGGCCUAAAGCAUCCGUAGCCGGUUGUUUAAGUUUUCGGUUAAAUCUAUGCGCUUAACGUAUAGGCUGCCGAAAAUACUGGACAGCUAGGGAGUGGGAGAGGUACACGGUACUCAAUAGGAAGGGGUAAAAUCCUUUGAUCUGUUGAUGACCACCUGUGGCGAAGGCGGUGUACCAGAACACGUUCGACGGUGAGGGAUGAAAGCUGGGGGAGCAAACCGGAUUAGAUACCCGGGUAGUCCCAGCUGUAAACGAUGCAAACUCGGUGAUGCAUUGGCUUGUGGCCAAUGCAGUGCCGCAGGGAAGCCGUUAAGUUUGCCGCCUGGGAAGUACGUACGCAAGUAU
rnacentral:rRNA from 1 species